GCUGGGAUGGUGGAAUGGCAGACACACCAGCUUGAGGGGCUGGCGGGCGCAAGCCUGUGGGGGUUCAAAUCCCCCUCCCAGCACCA
rnacentral:tRNA from 1 species